rnacentral:rRNA from 1 species
UACGGAGGGGGCGAGCGUUGUCCGAAGUUACUGGGCGUAAAGCGCGCGUAGGCGGGUCGAUCAGUCCGCUGUGAAAGCCCGGGGCUCAACCCCGGAGGGUCGGUGGAUACUAUCGGUCUUGAAGUUGCUAGGGGGAGAUGGAAUUCCCGGUGUAGAGGUGAAAUUCGUAGAUAUCGGGAGGAACACCAGUGGCGAAGGCGGCGACCUGGACGGACAUUGACGCUGAGACGCGAAAGCGUGGGGAGCAAACAGG